GAUGGAGUGAGGCUGAGGGGUGUGAAUUCCAGCCUCCAUGCUUCUCAUGAAGCCUUUUCUCCACUGUGCAGAAUCUACCAGGAAGCAAGGUUCGACCACUCUAUACAGCAAGGUGGGUUUGCUCAGCCUCCUCUCUAUCCUGGAACAUCCCGGCACUUCAUAAAUUGCCUGUCACAAGAAACAUCAGUGUGAUUCCUGGCCUUUCUCUCUCCAUCACACCCUUCACAUGACUAACGGGACAAUCCCAUGCCUCUACUCUCAUAGAACAGCCACGGCGUGGCCACUUCUCAUCGUCUGCCAGUUCACUGAGAGCAGCUUUGUGUUUACUACUAAGUGUCUGGCUUAGAGCAGAUGCUCGAUAGCUCCUUCUCUGAGAAAGAAACACCUCUUCCUCUAACUUCUUCCUGGAAUUCAAACCAGAGAGUAUUUCUCAGGAAUUAUCAGUUGACUGAGUGGUGAG